GCCUAUCCUUAGGAACCACGGAAGUCAAAUCUCUGUCCCGAGCAUUUUUGUUCAAAAUGUAUAAUAAUGCCAUGCGCUUCGCGGCCUCUAUUGCAGUGCAGCCUGCAGCUAUAAAAGAGAAACAACUGAUGAUAAGGAUUUAACCAUCGAAUUUUUAUUUUAUAAAAUAUGGCGCACAGGAGUUUAUUCUUUCUUAUUUACAUAAUCAGCUUGCUGGUCUUUUUCUUGUUCCCAUCUGAGAUGGUCCUAGCCAAACAAGUCCAAGUCCCAAAAACCAAAGAGCAGCUAAAAAAUUUUGAGGAAAGUAAAACUGGCGCAGGUGGAAGUUUUUCACGACGUGGAGGACAUGGGAAGCCCCCAAAUCACGGCUAGAAGUUCCCCCCCGUUAGUGGCCUUCCCUAGCGGCUCCAUCCAAGCUGUUUCUCUACAGAGGAUUAAUCGCUGCAAAGGAAGCAUAUAUGUCUACACCCAUAACCGCAAAUUACCUUAUAUAUAUAUAUAUAUAAUGGUGAAAUAAUGUAUUAUAUUCUCAUAAAUAUACUAUUUAAUUUUGGACGUUUA